GAAUUUUAUAGAGCUACCUUCCCUGUAUAAUUAGGAUUUGGCACAAAGAGCUUCAAGUGAGAUUUGGAAGGUACAAGGGGAGCAGCAGUCAUUACGGAAGAUUAGUACAAGCCUCCAUGCAUGGCCAGCGCUUGGCACAUUUGCUGCUGAUUCACGGGCUUCUCUCACUGGUGCGCAUAAACCCACAGCUCCUCUGCCUGCUGCCAGAUCUUUUCCUUCAGCGUUUCCAAGUCUUGAGUCACACACAUGUGCAACUCUAGGGUGAACGACUCCUGCUUCUUCUGCAGAUUCCCAGUAUCAUUUGUGUUCAAAGCAUAUUCUGAUUUGUCCUUGUGAAUAUCAGUUUAUUCUCAAGGAUUUUAGGUUGUCCUUUUUUUUUUUUUCUAGUUCAUUUAGACCUUUUCUUCCUGACUGCUUAUCUACUGAUCUGAGCAAUUUCUAGUUCACCACCAGGUAGAGGCAACUCCUUGCGUAGAUUUCUUCACCAGUUUUCCUUAAUGGCCUGGUUGGAAUAUUUGAAAUUGUCUGGUUCUUUGGCACCCAAAUAUGAAGGUCACUUCAUUAAGGGCCAAAAUUUUCAUGGAGAGCAUUUGAGAAAGGAGAGCUCAAUAAAAUAUCAAAAAAAUACAAACAAGAACUACAGUAAAAGAAAUAUUGCUACUUAUAUAUGCAAAUGAAGAUUGAAGAUAACUAUUAUCAACUUUCUACUCUUAAGAAUUAUUUAAGUUUCUACUGCUAUUUCUGCAUUUGGACAUUGGUUUACCAUGCCACUUUUUUAUGUAUUAAAAAAUUGUUAAAAAUUAAAAUGAUAUUAUACUUGUGUUCAGGCCAAAUAUAUAUUCCCAAAGUGUUC